GGGUUGUGAGGUUAAGCGACUAAGCGUACACGGUGGAUGCCCUGGCAGUCAGAGGCGAUGAAGGACGUGCUAAUCUGCGAUAAGCGUCGGUAAGGUGAUAUGAACCGUUAUAACCGGCGAUUUCCGAAUGGGGAAACCCAGUGUGAUUCGUCACACUAUCAUUAACUGAAUCCAUAGGUUAAUGAGGCGAACCGGGGAACUGAAACAUCUAAGUACCCCGAGGAAAAAAAUCAACCGAGAUUCCCCAGUAGCGGCGAGCGAACGGGGAGCAGCCCAGAGCCUGAAUCAGUGUGUGUGUUAGUGGAAGCGUCUGGAAAGGCGCGCGAUACAGGGUGACAGCCCCGUACACAAAAAUGCACAUACUGUGAGCUCGAUGAGUAGGGCGGGACACGUGGUAUCCUGUCUGAAUAUGGGGGGACCAUCCUCCAAGGCUAAAUACUCCUGACUGACCGAUAGUGAACCAGUACCGUGAGGGAAAGGCGAAAAGAACCCCGGCGAGGGGAGUGAAAAAGAACCUGAAACCGUGUACGUACAAGCAGUGGGAGCCUCUUUAUGGGGUGACUGCGUACCUUUUGUAUAAUGGGUCAGCGACUUAUAUUCUGUAGCAAGGUUAACCGAAUAGGGGAGCCGAAGGGAAACCGAGUCUUAACUGGGCGUUAAGUUGCAGGGUAUAGACCCGAAACCCGGUGAUCUAGCCAUGGGCAGGUUGAAGGUUGGGUAACACUAACUGGAGGACCGAACCGACUAAUGUUGAAAAAUUAGCGGAUGACUUGUGGCUGGGGUGAAAGGCCAAUCAAACCGGGAGAUAGCUGGUUCUCCCCGAAAGCUAUUUAGGUAGCGCCUCGUGAACUCAUCUCCGGGGGUAGAGCACUGUUUCGGCAAGGGGGUCAUCCCGACUUACCAACCCGAUGCAAACUGCGAAUACCGGAGAAUGUUAUCACGGGAGACACACGGCGGGUGCUAACGUCCGUCGUGAAGAGGGAAACAACCCAGACCGCCAGCUAAGGUCCCAAAGUCAUGGUUAAGUGGGAAACGAUGUGGGAAGGCCCAGACAGCCAGGAUGUUGGCUUAGAAGCAGCCAUCAUUUAAAGAAAGCGUAAUAGCUCACUGGUCGAGUCGGCCUGCGCGGAAGAUGUAACGGGGCUAAACCAUGCACCGAAGCUGCGGCAGCGACGCUGAUGCGUUGUUGGGUAGGGGAGCGUUCUGUAAGCCUGUGAAGGUGUGCUGUGAGGCAUGCUGGAGGUAUCAGAAGUGCGAAUGCUGACAUAAGUAACGAUAAAGCGGGUGAAAAGCCCGCUCGCCGGAAGACCAAGGGUUCCUGUCCAACGUUAAUCGGGGCAGGGUGAGUCGACCCCUAAGGCGAGGCCGAAAGGCGUAGUCGAUGGGAAACAGGUUAAUAUUCCUGUACUUGGUGUUACUGCGAAGGGGGGACGGAGAAGGCUAUGUUGGCCGGGCGACGGUUGUCCCGGUUUAAGCGUGUAGGCUGGUUUUCCAGGCAAAUCCGGAAAAUCAAGGCUGAGGCGUGAUGACGAGGCACUACGGUGCUGAAGCAACAAAUGCCCUGCUUCCAGGAAAAGCCUCUAAGCAUCAGGUAACAUCAAAUCGUACCCCAAACCGACACAGGUGGUCAGGUAGAGAAUACCAAGGCGCUUGAGAGAACUCGGGUGAAGGAACUAGGCAAAAUGGUGCCGUAACUUCGGGAGAAGGCACGCUGAUAUGUAGGUGAAGUCCCUCGCGGAUGGAGCUGAAAUCAGUCGAAGAUACCAGCUGGCUGCAACUGUUUAUUAAAAACACAGCACUGUGCAAACACGAAAGUGGACGUAUACGGUGUGACGCCUGCCCGGUGCCGGAAGGUUAAUUGAUGGGGUCAGCGCAAGCGAAGCUCUUGAUCGAAGCCCCGGUAAACGGCGGCCGUAACUAUAACGGUCCUAAGGUAGCGAAAUUCCUUGUCGGGUAAGUUCCGACCUGCACGAAUGGCGUAAUGAUGGCCAGGCUGUCUCCACCCGAGACUCAGUGAAAUUGAACUCGCUGUGAAGAUGCAGUGUACCCGCGGCAAGACGGAAAGACCCCGUGAACCUUUACUAUAGCUUGACACUGAACAUUGAGCCUUGAUGUGUAGGAUAGGUGGGAGGCUUAGAAGUGUGGACGCCAGUCUGCAUGGAGCCGACCUUGAAAUACCACCCUUUAAUGUUUGAUGUUCUAACGUUGACCCGUAAUCCGGGUUGCGGACAGUGUCUGGUGGGUAGUUUGACUGGGGCGGUCUCCUCCUAAAGAGUAACGGAGGAGCACGAAGGUUGGCUAAUCCCGGUCGGACAUCAGGAGGUUAGUGCAAUGGCAUAAGCCAGCUUGACUGCGAGCGUGACGGCGCGAGCAGGUGCGAAAGCAGGUCAUAGUGAUCCGGUGGUUCUGAAUGGAAGGGCCAUCGCUCAACGGAUAAAAGGUACUCCGGGGAUAACAGGCUGAUACCGCCCAAGAGUUCAUAUCGACGGCGGUGUUUGGCACCUCGAUGUCGGCUCAUCACAUCCUGGGGCUGAAGUAGGUCCCAAGGGUAUGGCUGUUCGCCAUUUAAAGUGGUACGCGAGCUGGGUUUAGAACGUCGUGAGACAGUUCGGUCCCUAUCUGCCGUGGGCGCUGGAGAACUGAGAACUGAGGGGGCUGCUCCUAGUACGAGAGGACCGGAGUGGACGCAUCACUGGUGUUCGGGUUGUCAUGCCAAUGGCACUGCCCGGUAGCUAAAUGCGGAAGAGAUAAGUGCUGAAAGCAUCUAAGCACGAAACUUGCCCCGAGAUGAGUUCUCCCUGACUCCUUGAGAGUCCUGAAGGAACGUUGAAGACGACGACGUUGAUAGGCCGGGUGUGUAAGCGCAGCGAUGCGUUGAGCUAACCGGUACUAAUGAACCGUGAGGCUUAACCUUACAACGCCGAAGCUGUU
rnacentral:rRNA from 1 species